GCGGGCGUGACACAGCGGUCAACUGUGCCUGACUUAUGAUCAGGAAUUCCCUGCCUGGAAUACGUGGGUUCAAAUCCCACCGCCCGCG
rnacentral:tRNA from 1 species